rnacentral:rRNA from 1 species
UGCCAGCCGCCGCGGUAAUACGGAUGGUGCAAGCGUUAAUCGGAAUUACUGGGCGUAAAGCGCGCGUAGGUGGCAUACUAAGUUAGAUGUGAAAUCCCGGGGCUUAACCUCGGAACUGCAUCUAAAACUGGUAAGCUAGAGUACUAGAGAGGAAAGUAGAAUUCUUAGUGUAGCGGUGGAAUGCGUAGAUAUUAAGAGGAAUACCAAUGGCGAAGGCAACUUUCUGGAUAGAUACUGACACUGAGGUGCGAAAGCGUGGGGAGCAAACAGGAUUAGAUA